rnacentral:lncRNA from 1 species
GCGCGCCCGCGUGCCGCAGCCCGCGUCGUCCACCGCCGCGCGCCUCCGCCACCCCGCGCCGCUGCCGCCGCCGCCGCCGGGCUCGCUGGCUGGCGGGCUGCUGGCGCCGGGCUCCCGCCGGAGGAGAGGACAGCCAGCGCCGCCGCUGCGGCUUCUGCCCGGGCCCGGGCGUCGGCCCCGCCCCGGGCCCCGGCCCGGUGUCCAGCCCCGCCAUGAAGUGUCACUACGAGGCGCUGGGGGUGCGGCGCGACGCCAGCGAGGAGGAGCUCAAGAAGGCCUAUCGGAAGCUGGCCCUGAGGUGGCACCCGGAUAAAAAUCUGGACAAUGCCGCAGAAGCAGCUGAGCAGUUUAAAUUAAGAUAACCACCGAGAGGCCUUACUUAAAGGAGGGCUCGAUGGGGAAUAUCAAGAUGACAGCUUAGAUCUGCUUCAUUAUUUCACGGUUACCUGUUAUUCUGGUUAUGGGGACGAUGAAAGGGGGUUCUAUGCAGUGUAUCGUGUUGUCUUUGAGCUGAUUGCAAAAGAAGAACUGGAGUGUAUGUCAGAGGGAGAUGUUGAGGAUUUUCCAACCUUCGGCGACUCCCAGAGCGACUAUGACACGGUGAAAGAAAAAUACGCUCACUGGCAGAGUUUCUGCACACAAAAGAAUUUUUCCUGGAAGGAAGAGUAUGAUACCCGGCAAGCCUCGAACCGCUGGGAAAAACGAGCCAUGGAAAAAGAAAACAAAAAAAUUCGAGACAGAGCAAGG